UCCGGUUUGACACCGGCAGUCUCGCUAGAGUACUCGCCAUGACGCGUGAGCAACUAACGACAGGGGUUGCGCUCGUUAAGGGACUUAACCCGACACUUCACAGCACGAGCUGACGACAGCCAUGCAGCACCUGUGCUUGUUCCACCCUUGCGGGCGUGGCCCCACUUUCAUGGGGUUAAUCCAAGCAUGUCAAACCCAGGUAAGGUUCUUCGCGUUGCCUCGAAUUAAGCAACAUGCUCCACCGCUUGUGUGAGCCCCCGUCAAUUCCUUUGAGUUUCAACCUUGCGGUCGUACUCCCCAGGCGGGGUACUUCCUGCGUUAGCUUCGCUACUGAAGGGGUCGAUACCUCCAACAGCUAGUAUCCAUCGUUUACGGCGUGGACUAC
rnacentral:misc_RNA from 1 species